ACUGUCUCUUAAUAAUUUAUAAAAUUUAACUUUUGAGUCAAAAGGCUUAAAUUUUUCUUUAGGACGAGAAGACCCUAUAGAGCUUAACAUAUAAUUUAUAUUUAUACAUUAGAUGGUUUUUAUAUAUUUAAUGAUAAUGUUUUGUUGGGGUGACAUGAAGAAUUAAUAAACUCUUCAUUAUAAAAUCAUUAAUUUAUGUUUGUUUUUGAUCCAUAAUUUAUGAUCAUAAGAUUAAGUUACCUUAGGGAUAACAGCGUAAUUGUUUUUGAGAGCUCAAAUCAACAAAGCAGAUUGCGACCUCGAUGUUGGAUUAAGAAAAAUUUUGGGUG
rnacentral:rRNA from 1 species